AAGACAACCUCUGGAGCCAUGAAGAAACCACACUUGAAAAUGCAAUAAUCACCUCUCAUAACAACAAAAUUACUGGCUUUGAUACCAUGUUCGAACUUGAUCAAAAAUAAUAAGGAAGAAGAGAAGAGAAUAGAGAAAAUGGUUUAAUUGUUUUAUUACUAUAUCUCUAAUAAUCUAAAGGAAUGAGCCAUCAAAUUUAUACAAGAUUGUUAUCCAUUGCUAACAAUUAAUCCUAACUGAAUCUUAACUCAUUCACUAAUUAAAUUGAA
rnacentral:lncRNA from 1 species